GACUAACGGCGUAAGGGUGGUUAGGGCAUACCUUACUAAACUAGAGCUGAACUUCUUCAGAGCUGUUAUACGCGUCCGAAAAGCAGAACAUCAACUACGAAAGUGUCUCUAAGUCUCCUGACACCACGAAAGCUAUGGCA
rnacentral:rRNA from 1 species